UACGUAGGUGGCAAGCGUUGUCCGGAUUUAUUGGGUUUAAAGGGUGCGUAGGCGGCUUUGUAAGUCAGUGGUGAAAUAUGGCAGCUCAACUGUCAAGGUGCCAUUGAUACUGCGGAGCUUGAGUACAGAUGAGGUAGGCGGAAUUGACGGUGUAGCGGUGAAAUGCUUAGAUAUCGUCAAGAACACCUAUAGCGAAGGCAGCUUACUAGGCUGUAACUGACGCUGAGGCACGAAAGCCAGGGGAGCAAACGGG
rnacentral:rRNA from 1 species